rnacentral:lncRNA from 1 species
CUGCCAAGUCUUAAGUCUUCACAACCAGCGAUAAAAACCCUCUUCCCACUCUCUGGUGCUGUCAGCUCGACAUCCUACUUUUCACUCCCUUUUACAUCAUUCCUCUCCUGCUACCUGCUUUUCAGAUGCAGAUGAUUCUGAGGAUACUGAAACCAUCUUGCAUGUAUGAAGAUAAAAACAAAAUUACAGCUGGCCAGGCAGAAAGGUAUAAGAAUAUCACUUUUAUAUAAUAUGAAUAUUUUCAGAAUGAGUGGAGGAAGACCGGCUCAUUAUGCAAAUGGAGAAGGGGCUGUCAUACAGUCCUCGACAUGCUCUUGUUUUGACAACAGCCCUCCUGCCUUGGUCCCUCCAGCCUUGACCCUAAGUAGCUUCCUGUUUUUGCUUAUCUCUGAGUUCACCUGCAAUUUCAGGUGGGUUUUCAGUUCUUGGUAACCAAUGUCCACCUUAAAUUCCCUUGUUUUAAAUAUUCAAAUUGGUCUCUUCUUUCUGGCUGAACCUGACUCAACCAGCACUAAGUCUUUUGGUCAUGGACAAUGGAAAUAGACCCUGACAUAUAGCCAAGAAGGAGUGAUGGUGAAACAAAGGGACAGAAGGACAGGGAAGGGAUUAAUGGCAAGACACUGAUGACAGCAGAGGAUGGUGCUUUUCCUGUCCAAUUCUGUAACACAGUGCCGAUACUGUAAAACAAGAGAAGGAAGGACCAGUGGCACCGUGAAACCACACAAAAUAAAUUCUACCCCAUGUCCCA